rnacentral:rRNA from 1 species
UACGGAGGAUGCAAGCGUUAUCCGGAAUGAUUGGGCGUAAAGCGUCCGCAGGUGGCUAUGUAAGUCUGCUGUUAAAGAGUGAGGCUCAACCUCAUAAGAGCAGUGGAAACUACAUAGCUAGAGUGCGUUCGGGGCAGAGGGAAUUCCUGGUGUAGCGGUGAAAUGCGUAGAUAUCAAGAGGAACACCAGUGGCGAAGGCGAGUCCCUGGACGAUACCUGACACUGAGGCACGAAAGCUAGGGGAGCAAACAGG